GGUUAAGUUAGAAAGGGCGCACGGUGGAUGCCUUGACACUAGGAGUCGAUGAAGGACGGGACUAACGCCGAUAUGCUUCGGGGAGCUGUAAGUAAGCUUUGAUCCGAAGAUUUCCGAAUGGGGAAACCCACCAUACGUAAUGGUAUGGUAUCCUUAUCUGAAUACAUAGGGUAAGGAAGACAGACCCAGGGAACUGAAACAUCUAAGUACCUGGAGGAAGAGAAAGCAAAUGCGAUUUCCUGAGUAGCGGCGAGCGAAACGGAACAUAGCCCAAACCAAGAGGCUUGCCUCUUGGGGUUGUAGGACAUUCUAUACGGAGUUACAAAGGAACGAGGUAGACGAAGCGACCUGGAAAGGUCCGUCGUAGAGGGUAACAACCCCGUAGUCGAAACUUCGUUCUCUCUUGAAUGUAUCCUGAGUACGGCGGAACACGUGAAAUUCCGUCGGAAUCUGGGAGGACCAUCUCCCAAGGCUAAAUACUCCCUAGUGAUCGAUAGUGAACCAGUACCGUGAGGGAAAGGUGAAAAGCACCCCGGAAGGGGAGUGAAAGAGAUCCUGAAACCGUGUGCCUACAAAUAGUCAGAGCCCGUUAACGGGUGAUGGCGUGCCUUUUGUAGAAUGAACCGGCGAGUUACGAUCCCGUGCGAGGUUAAGCUGAAGAGGCGGAGCCGCAGCGAAAGCGAGUCUGAAUAGGGCGUUUAGUACGUGGUCGUAGACCCGAAACCAGGUGAUCUACCCAUGUCCAGGGUGAAGUUCAGGUAACACUGAAUGGAGGCCCGAACCCACGCACGUUGAAAAGUGCGGGGAUGAGGUGUGGGUAGCGGAGAAAUUCCAAUCGAACCUGGAGAUAGCUGGUUCUCCCCGAAAUAGCUUUAGGGCUAGCCUUAAGUGUAAGAGUCUUGGAGGUAGAGCACUGAUUGGACUAGGGGUCCUCAUCGGAUUACCGAAUUCAGUCAAACUCCGAAUGCCAAUGACUUAUCCUUAGGAGUCAGACUGCGAGUGAUAAGAUCCGUAGUCAAAAGGGAAACAGCCCAGACCGCCAGCUAAGGUCCCAAAGUGUGUAUUAAGUGGAAAAGGAUGUGGAGUUGCUUAGACAACUAGGAUGUUGGCUUAGAAGCAGCCACCAUUUAAAGAGUGCGUAAUAGCUCACUAGUCGAGUGACUCUGCGCCGAAAAUGUACCGGGGCUAAAUACACCACCGAAGCUGCGGAUUGAUACCAAUGGUAUCAGUGGUAGGGGAGCGUUCUAAGGACAGUGAAGUCAGACCGUAAGGACUGGUGGAGUGCUUAGAAGUGAGAAUGCCGGUAUGAGUAGCGAAAGACGGGUGAGAAUCCCGUCCACCGAAUGCCUAAGGUUUCCUGAGGAAGGCUCGUCCGCUCAGGGUUAGUCAGGACCUAAGCCGAGGCCGACAGGCGUAGGCGAUGGACAACAGGUUGAUAUUCCUGUACCACCUCUUUAUCGUUUGAGCAAUGGAGGGACGCAGAAGGAUAGAAGAAGCGUGCGAUUGGUUGUGCACGUCCAAGCAGUUAGGCUGAUAAGUAGGCAAAUCCGCUUAUCAUAAAGGCUGAGCUGUGAUGGGGAAGCUCCUUAUGGAGCGAAGUCUUUGAUUCCCCGCUGCCAAGAAAAGCUUCUAGCGAGAUAAAAGGUGCCUGUACCGCAAACCGACACAGGUAGGCGAGGAGAGAAUCCUAAGGUGUGCGAGAGAACUCUGGUUAAGGAACUCGGCAAAAUGACCCCGUAACUUCGGGAGAAGGGGUGCUUUCUUAACGGAAAGCCGCAGUGAAUAGGCCCAAGCGACUGUUUAGCAAAAACACAGCUCUCUGCGAAGCCGUAAGGCGAAGUAUAGGGGGUGACACCUGCCCGGUGCUGGAAGGUUAAGGAGAGGGUUAGCAUAAGCGAAGCUCUGAACUGAAGCCCCAGUAAACGGCGGCCGUAACUAUAACGGUCCUAAGGUAGCGAAAUUCCUUGUCGGGUAAGUUCCGACCCGCACGAAAGGUGUAACGAUUUGGGCACUGUCUCAACCAGAGACUCGGUGAAAUUAUAGUACCUGUGAAGAUGCAGGUUACCCGCGACAGGACGGAAAGACCCCGUGGAGCUUUACUGUAGCCUGAUAUUGAAUUUUGGUACAGUUUGUACAGGAUAGGCGGGAGCCAUUGAAACCGGAGCGCUAGCUUCGGUGGAGGCGCUGGUGGGAUACCGCCCUGACUGUAUUGAAAUUCUAACCUACGGGUCUUAUCGACCCGGGAGACAGUGUCAGGUGGGCAGUUUGACUGGGGCGGUCGCCUCCUAAAGUGUAACGGAGGCGCCCAAAGGUUCCCUCAGAAUGGUUGGAAAUCAUUCGUAGAGUGCAAAGGCAUAAGGGAGCUUGACUGCGAGACCUACAAGUCGAGCAGGGACGAAAGUCGGGCUUAGUGAUCCGGUGGUUCCGCAUGGAAGGGCCAUCGCUCAACGGAUAAAAGCUACCCCGGGGAUAACAGGCUUUCUCCCCCAAGAGUCCACAUCGACGGGGAGGUUUGGCACCUCGAUGUCGGCUCAUCGCAUCCUGGGGCUGUAGUCGGUCCCAAGGGUUGGGCUGUUCGCCCAUUAAAGCGGUACGCGAGCUGGGUUCAGAACGUCGUGAGACAGUUCGGUCCCUAUCCGUCGUGGGCGUAGGAAAUUUGAGAGGAGCUGUCCUUAGUACGAGAGGACCGGGAUGGACGCACCGCUGGUGUACCAGUUGUUCUGCCAAGGGCAUAGCUGGGUAGCUAUGUGCGGAAGGGAUAAGUGCUGAAAGCAUCUAAGCAUGAAGCCCCCCUCAAGAUGAGAUUUCCCAUAGCGUAAGCUAGUAAGAUCCCUGAAAGAUGAUCAGGUUGAUAGGUUCGAGGUGGAAGCAUGGUGACAUGUGGAGCUGACGAAUACUAAUAGAUCGAGGACUUAACCAU
rnacentral:rRNA from 1 species